rnacentral:misc_RNA from 1 species
ACCACUGCUGGAUCCGUACCCUGGUCUGAACCCUCGGGAUUUGUGUCUAAAACCACUCCUCUUAUUUCUGCUUCUUCCUCUGUAAGUAGUUUGGCCACCACUAUCCAUAGUACCCAUGUGGGGAACACCUGAAGAACCCUCUGCUCUGUUUUUCUUUGCUCUUCCGCUAUCAUCCACAGCAUAGCUAACCUCAAUCUGUCUGGCUCGAUCCACCACCACAUCAAAAGACUGAUCAGACAUCAUGGCCAGGUUCGCA